rnacentral:rRNA from 1 species
GCCAGACUCCUACGGGAGGCAGCAGUGAGGAAUAUUGGUCAAUGGGCGGAAGCCUGAACCAGCCAAGUCGCGUGAGGGAAUAAGGCCCUACGGGUCGUAAACCUCUUUUGCCGGGGAGCAAGGGCGGGGACGUGUCCCGGCCCGGAGAGUACCCGGAGAAAAAGCAUCGGCUAACUCCGUGCCAGCAGCCGCGGUAAUACGGAGGAUGCGAGCGUUAUCCGGAUUUAUUGGGUUUAAAGGGUGCGUAGGCGGGCAUUUAAGCCGGCGGUCAAAUGUCGGGGCUCAACCCCGGCCUGCCGUCGGAACUGGGUGCCUUGAGUGGGCGAGAAGUAUGCGGAAUGCGUGGUGUAGCGGUGAAAUGCAUAGAUAUCACGCAGAACCCCGAUUGCGAAGGCAGCAUACCGGCGCCCUACUGACGCUGAGGCACGAAAGUGCGGGUAUCGAACAGGAUUAGAUACCCCGGUA